GCGUUCGCUCUUGUCCCUUCUCUUCAAAUCCACGUACUUGCACUUCGAAAGUAGCAGGUUUGGCCAGUUGGUAUAGAAUUCGUCCAGAUAUUAAUGUUAAAGUACUGUUAAUGUGUGUUGCAACUUGAAACACUAACCUGUGACUGAAAAUGGAGCCGGGAAGAUGCAGAGCAUCAAAAGCAGACCGAGUACGUGAGGUAAUAGUGAAGAACACUUCUUUCCCAUGUUUCUGUCUCUCUUUUAUACUUGUUAAUUUGCUCUAUUUCUUCUGGUGUAGAGACGUUUAUUUAUAUAUCCAAGUAGAGAGAAAAGGGAAGUACUGAGAAGCCAAAUCAAAGAGAUGAGAUCGAACACACACCUAAAAGAAAUAGUAUUGGUUUCUCCGUCACUUAUUUGAAUUUUUACCUUCUCCUCUUGGAUCUUAGUGCAUUUCUUAUAUUUUAAAGUUUAGCAACGUUUCCAAGUUGGAGUAUUUUUGUUCAUAUUGUAUUUAAAAUUU